rnacentral:rRNA from 1 species
GAUGAACGCUGGCGGCGUACUUAACACAUGCAAGUCGAACGGUGAAGCAGGGGCUUGCUCUUGUGGAUCAGUGGCGAACGGGUGAGUAACACGUGAGCAACCUGCCCCUGACUCUGGGAUAAGCGCUGGAAACGGCGUCUAAUACUGGAUAUGUGAUGUGACCGCAUGGUCUGCAUCUGGAAAGAAUUUCGGUUGGGGAUGGGCUCGCGGCCUAUCAGCUUGUUGGUGAGGUAAUGGCUCACCAAGGCGUCGACGGGUGGCCGGCCUGAGAGGGUGACCGGCAACACUGGGACUGAGGCACGGCCCAGACUCCUACGGGAGGCAGCAGUGGGGAAUAUUGCACAAUGGGCGGAAGCCUGAUGCAGCAACGCCGCGUGAGGGAUGACGGCCUUCGGGUUGUAAACCUCUUUUAGCAGGGAAGAAGCGAAAGUGACGGUACCUGCAGAAAAAGCACCGGCUAACUACGUGCCAGCCGCCGCCGUAA